rnacentral:tRNA from 1 species
AUUUAAAUAGCUUAUAUUAGAGCGUAAUAUUGAAAAUAUUAAUGAAAAUUUUUUAAAUUUUUUAAAUA